CCCUCCCCCUCCUCCCCCUCCACUUCGACUCUCCUAAAUCUUUUAAUCAUGACACUGACAGAAAGUAUUUUUUGCCUUCUCGCUCCCUUGAUGUGCCAGUAUCAGUGCCCCCCCCCCCCCCUUCCUCUCCCUAUUGUAGAGCCUUAAUGAGCACGCAGGCGUGAUCUGUAAAUGAUUCAAUAACUGGGAGAAGAAUCUUUGAUUAUUUCUCCCUCCCCUUUGUUUUAUAAUUGAAAUAGACUUUUCAUCGGCAGAGACUCAUUCAAAGGCGUCACAUCUUGAGGCUCGUUGCUCGUUGUUCCUGAGACCUGCGUUGUGGCCGGACAAUUCUGUUAAUUGGGUUUUGAGCUUUGGUCAUUUGCUGCGGUCUGUUUUUAAUCUAUAAUCCAACUCUACUCUGGAGCUGUAAUCCUGUUUUCUUUUUCUAAAGCAGGAAUCUAAAGUGUCCAGAUGUGUAUCGCGAGGAGUAAAACACACCUGAAAAAGUGUUUUGUCCGAAAAUAAAACAUGAACGUGCACAUGAAUCAGUGCAGCCAAAUCAACUACUGUUGUUUUUCUAAAGAAAUCCGGCGAUAAUGAACCUUUUCCCGUCAUUAUGUGAUUUAAUGCUGCAGCAUGAAGGGCACAGUGAACAGAGGGGCGGUUGUGGGGCCUGUCGCCUCCAGCUCUUCAUCUGCCUUUGGGCCCCCCCCACCCUUCUUCAUCAGCUAUCAAACAGUGCCCUAAAUGACUGUUCUGUUUAGCAAUCAGCGCUAACCUCCAACCAUCAAACUCUGCAUUCUAAUGUGUUUUCACACCAUGAAACAUGCAACUUUUACUCUAUUGUAAUAUUUCGGGUGGAAAUCUCAUAGUCAACUCCACCUGCACAAAGCAACACCCCCCCGCCCCCCGUGCUAAAGUUCACCAAAUUAAUUGACAUCUGGAGAGGCUCAGCAGAUUCAUCCCAACCACCCAGCAGUAACUGUAGACACACACACACACACACACACACCUCCCCGGAACAAACUACUCCAUCAUGAGAGGUGUCAGAAGAGGAUCAAGAGAUGAUGAAACAGCUCCAUGUGCCGUGUACGACGCUGUGCUUUUGAUCAGAUCCCCCCUCAUCGCUUCCCUCCCUCCCGCUACUUCUCUUCUAUUUCUCAGCUGAUGUGGGGAGGAAAUGUGCCUCCACGAAAAUGAAACCAAACAAACAAAUGAGAUUGGGUGUGUUGACCUCGCUUUGUAAUCCCCCCCCGUGAAAUGUGACUGGCGGUGCGGGCGGGCGCAGCAGCAGCGGGCGCUUGGUGUCGAAAAAGAGAGCGUUUUGUUUGCAAGGCAGAAAGAGAAGCGGACUUGACGAUGCAUCAUUCUGGGACGGAGCGGGUGACCUGAUUAAUGAGCGGAUGUGGUGCGAUCUCAGAGGGUAAAAGAGAUGAAGACGCAGAUGUGGUGGGAGGGAGCCAGAGCGCGCUAACAAACGAACCUUUGGAUGACGAGCGUCUUCGUUUUCUCUUCUUCUUCCACCUCGUUUCACGCGCAUGUUUUCACACGUGUCGCCUCACAUGAACAUCCACGGCGGCUCACUAAACAACUACCGCGUAUUAACAUUUAAAUAGACAUGUCUGCUUCUCUCUUCUAUGAAUGCUUCCCUGCAUUUCAAACGGAUUGGUCGUGGACGGGGUGUGUAAUGUCAAAGCGCUUUUCAGCCAAUUUGCUAUCAUCACAAUCCGUUGCUACGGUAACCAAUUUAACAUUUAUUCAUCCCGUUGAUUAUGAGUAACUAAAGUGCAGCGCCAGGUGUGCAACUCUUCAAGCCACACAAGAGGGAGAACCCCCUUUACCCAAAGAGACAGAGACGUCUUGUUUCCGGACAGAAAGCAUGAACUUGCCUCGCCAUCGCUCCGUGUUUGUCAGCUGCGCUGUGUAUGUACCAUUACGCCGUUUCAGGCCCUUGCCUUCAGAAAUCUAUUCCCCGACGCCGCAGCCGGCAGCAGAGAGAAGCGGCCUGGGGAGGAGGCCCGAGCGCCGCUCGUCUAAAGCGCGCCAGCUCAAGAUACUUUGUCUUUCCCAACGUGCAGGGGACUUUUAUCGCAACGCGCUGCUCCGCUUCACCAUUUGCACAAGUCGAUCCGCGUCACGGGAGAAAACCUCUAAAUAAAUGUCAGCUUAAAACGACCGGCGGCUCUUUGUUGGGCGCUUGCGUUCGGCAGUGCCAGAGAUUUAAUUGGAAGAUGAGAUGUAGAUUCUGGGAUUCACGCGUUUGCAGACAAAGAGGGGCAAAAUGAAAGGGAGAAAUUAGCCAAAAAAAGGAUGGAUGAGCCCGAUGGUGGAGGAAGAGGUUAAAAAAAAAGAGCCUUUCCUGCUCAUUCUGCUUUGUUAGCAUCCGAACGGUGCUAUUAACUAUGCAUGUUAUAAAGGCAAGAAUAAUUUAGAAUGCAUAUCCGUGGUCAACAAAGUCACCUGUGGUUUUACUGCAGAGUCGCCUUGCAGGUGUAAUUUAGCUAAAUCCUCUUGACAGGAUGAAACCUGUUUCUCAUUAUCCUGCAACGGUUCGCAGCCUGAUCCAGACGAGGCCAUAAAAAGGUGCUGCCAAUUUCCCGUUGAGGGUCAUUGGAGGUUUUAGAGCAGACUUUGGCUCCCGGCACUGGUGUGCAUUGAUUCACUUCUUUUUGGGAUCAAACCAGUCACUGACUCCAAUCUGCCACAAAGCACAAGAGUAAAUGUAACUCGCUGGUUAUUACAGAACAAUAAAAAGAUUUAAAAAAAAACCUUGACAAACAACACACCAAGUUUAUUUCCCGUGCGGGUCCUUUGACGGUUCGCUCAGCUUUCACACACCUGGCGGCAGCUCUCUGCGCCCCCGGAGCUUUUUCCUUCUUCCCAGAGUCGCUGUCGCACUCACUGCAAACACAUUCCAAAAGUCUCCCAAAUCAUUUUAGAUUCGAUGCGCAUUUCAAUCUCCGCUCGGAUUGACUGGGAACUCAUUCUGUGGAGGAAUAUGAACCUACACACACACACACACACACACACACAUGGAUGCAAAGCCCCUCACACCGCGUCAAACAGCUGUCUUAGCAUUUUGUUUUGGCACGUAACGAGCCGUCGGUGUUGACGGUGCAGUUCCAUGAGUCGGCGUCUCGGGUAAACCAGCACAGAGGCGGAUUCAACCUUGAGUUUUGGAUAUUCCCAAUUUUUUUUUUCGGGAGAGGAAAUAACUGACUACCAAAGUGGUGCUAAUUAAAAGCCCGUCGCCAUGCGUUCCCUCCGUGUGCACAGAGGUCAGCAGCAGUGGCAGCUCUCGGCCCGGGGAUCAGGGGGGCGUGUCUCUCAACAUGCCUUAAUUAAACAGGAAUAAAACCUUUUUUGUCUUGUGGCGAAUGCUUUUCGCUUUGCUUAGAGACGUUUACGGUUUCUGUGACUAAAAGUGCAAUCGACGGCCCGCUUUGCAGCAGUGUUUGAAUAGCUGGUGACACCGGCGCCGCUCUCCUCCGUGGCGAACGUAAGCCAUCAGAUGGCGAGGGAGCUGGAAAUCCUCCCGCCGUAAUCGCGGACCGAGAACCACAAACCGAAAUCAUUUCUCGCCAAUGGGACAUUUGGGAUUAACUGAACACAAAGGAGCUUUUCUUUCUCUCCCCUCCACUGUCUCCCGGCCGCGUUUGGCUGGUGUCGCCCAGUUACUCGGGGGCUUUUUUUUGACGGAGCCACAACUCAGAAGUGACUCUGCUCCGGCGAAUUCUGGGGCAAGACGAGUCCCUCCUGGUGUUCUCUUGGAGUUCCGCCUUUCCAAAGAGUCCCGGCCCGGUCAGCCGUGUGGCGCUCGUAGCUCCUCAGCGGCCAUUAAAGACGUGCUCUGUCUUCCACAGUUGGCAACGUGUUUGCUGUGCUCGCACUUUGCCAUUUUAACAGAUGACCACGCAGUGAAAACUUAUUUAACCCGGAGCCUUUCUGCCUUGCGUAUCCUCUGGAAUGUAAAAAAACUCUCUUAACCAAUCGACUGAAGGAUAAUUUAUAGAAGAGCUUUUUUUAGAAAUAGCCUUUGCUUUCCAUUGGGCUGCUUUCGCCGUUCUCACCACUGGAUGACUCUUCAGGGAAUGAAGUAAAGGCAAAGAGAGCAGAAGAUCAGCACCCGGCUGCUGCUGUACACAAAACAAGAGGGACGGCUUUGUCGUGUGUAUCACACAAGUCACACAGGGAUGCACGACACCUGCGGGAGUGUAAAUGGGUAUUUGCAUGGUAUUGGAUGUUUAGUUGAAGAGGUGACACGUUAUGCUAACUCCAUUCAUGCUGCAGAAACAAAUCAACAAUGAACCACCGUCUACCUGAUUUAUAACCUUUAAUCAAGUGAUUUCAGGAACAUUGCGCAUGAAUUGUGAGCGUCGCUCUCAAUCGGAAACGCUCCUGUAAUAGUGAACAAAGAUGGAGAAGUUGCUUCCCUCUGUCAUCAUCAUCUCGCUCCCGUAACGGUUGGAGUUCACGGGCGACGCUUCAGCAAGUCAGACCUGCUCGAUUACUGAGAGGGGAAAAAAAGGUCCUUUCAUCAAUUAAUAUAAAAGUGUGAUUGAACACUGAUUUGGAUCCAGCAGCCGGAUUGUCGGGCACGACACGUCCGUUCUAAUCAGGAUAAGGAGACUCCUAAAAAAUUAAAAUCCAUACAGACAAAACAAUGUUUGGGUUCGCUUCAACAUCCAAUAUUGAUCGAGCAAAGUGCAACCGUAUCCGCUACAAAAUGUGUUUCCCUGGAAACGAGUGCAGUUUAGUUGUAUGAGAAUGUAAUUGUGCAGGAGACGGUUGAGAUAUGUUGCUUUCAGCAAAAUGGCCACUAAAGGAAGAAGGCGGCAGUUAAGAAAAUGUGUAAAUUGUCUUGGAUAAUUGGGCACAUCUACUAGAUACAUUAAUAUUUGAUAAGCAUUUUACCUGAUGUAUUUACCAGGGACUUAUAGAUAUACGGAGGUUGGGGGUGAGGUUGUUAAAAAUACACACGUGUAUUUCUAUCUAACGUCAGCUCUUCUUUAAUCGAACGCUGCGUACAGCAGAAAAUGUUUUGCACGAGGUAAAUGUGAUUGGAUGCGUUUGCCAUCACUAAACGAGAGCGUCGAGACGAUUUAAGGAUUUUUAAUUAUGCAGGGGUGCUGCUGCAGCCCCGCAGACUUCCCCACACAACACUAAUUACAAGCAAGUCCAUGGGAGACGGCGCUGCAUCCGAGCGUUUGAUUUCUCCACCAAAAUAAACGGGCUGCUAUUGAAAUGUAUUUACAGCAGCAGCCCACGUGACUGAGCUCUUUAUUUAAGGAGCCCAAACCAUAGAUUUGUCCCAGUGCAAAUGAAACGUAUAACUGUUGAAGUCAGAGACUUAAGAGCCCUUGCUGACUUGGUGAGCUUCCCUCCCUUCGGCUGAGGCUAAUGAAGCCUUUGCUUGCCUUCCCACAUAUUGCAAAUCUUUCAUUUUGGGAGACUGAUCAGUCCAACUGGUUCGUCUAUCUCUGGCCAAUCCAUAUUCUCCUUUCUUUCUUAUUGGUAUUCAUGCGCUUAGCGGUCGUCUCUCUCCUCAUUUGUAGCUUCACUCGAACAAGCAGAGCCUUAAGAAAAUGUUAGUGUGCUCCCCGUGAACACCUUGUUCGACAAAAUGAGAACUAAAAUGAAAACUGGCUGAACAGCUGAAGGGGAGGCGUGUUUAUCGUCUUGCCGCGAGGCCACUUUAAUCAAAAUAGCAUGUGUUUAACAGCACACGUCAACAGUCUCACAUUAAUUAAUGACACUCUCCAUAUCAGAAUGAUCAUUGAACACUUAAGUGACUUUCUGCUAAAAUAAAGGAUGAUGGGGGGACUUUCUCAUGCUUGAUCAGCCUUUCAGACAAGAGAUUGGAACUUAAUGAAAGUGUGAGGUAUGACAUUUCAUGUCAUAUUGUCCGGUUGAUGGCAUCGGCACUGUCGUCACACACACCAGGGAACGGAGGGCUGUUCAACACUGUGAAGCUCUCUUUAUUCCAUACACCUCUAUAUACGAUAGGCAGUGACAAAGAGCAAUGAUUACUUCUGCAGUACAUAAAUAUUUGAACAGCUACACCCAAAAGGAUCCCUAUAUGGGGUGUUUGUGCAGGAUUUUGGAUAUGUUUGAUACCACGGAGAGGAAAUAGAAGGUGACAUCGGAGCGUUUAGGGGGUCUGAAAUGAAGGAAGCAAAUACAGCCGGUGCACAGUCGUCAAAAUAUGAACCAAAUGUAAAAUUAACAAAGAAAAAAAGGGGAUGGGGGAUUGAGAAUAAAGGGAGAAACUCUUUGGUAAAGUAAAUUCGGUCUAAGAAACAGCGUUCCUCUCUACAGGUUGUUCUUUAGAUUGCAUAAUUGGACAACCCAUUCCGUUACCACAAGUCCUAUAAAAGCCGGAUGUCCUUUAAAAAGGCCACAGGUCGUCUUAUUAGCUCCCUGGGAACCGUACCCCUGCAUUUGAAUGAGGAGCACCAUGACGAGCCUGUCACAGAGGCCACGGUGGGGCGGAACGUGGCCACGGAGAUGUAGAAGAAGAAAAGUACAGGGGACACGACGAGAGGACGCAGCGUCUAAGGUAAUGUGUGUGUGUGUGUGUGUGGGGGGGAGAGAACAGGUGUGUGUGAGAGAGACAGAGAGAGACAGACAGAGAGAGAGGGAGUCACCGUGGAGGGGGCGAUUGGAGCUGUUCUCCCCUGUUGUAUGCACCAGAUGGUCUUCAUUGAUUAUUCAUUGCAUGCGAUGGAUGUCACCGCACACGGCUCUGCUCCAUUCUGCUCCCCGCCUCGGUGCACCUGGGGGGCAGAGAGGUGGGGGCGAGGGGAGGGGGAGGGGGGGGCGCAGAGUGCGGAUGUUGCAGUGGUUUUGGAAAUUGCAUCACGGCAUCUCACACUGCGUAACACACGCAUGUGCCUUGCGCGCUCCCGCCGACGUGCAGGCGGUCCGGACUGGGGUGUGAUUGGUCCGCAGGCAUCAGUAUUGACCUGCACUGGUUUACGUGUCUGAUUUCAGGUUGAUUUGAGCAUGAAUGAUGUCGUCAGAAAAGAAAGAGUGACGUUCGUCGUGAUUUCGAGGCCAAUCCGAGAUGUACGCACCAAGCUCAUGGAUGGCGUCCAACAUCGCACGUGCACACGAACUGACAAAAAGGGUUCAGUCAGUAACAUUCGGUCAAUUUUCUCCCACACAGCCAGGUUCUCUCUCUCUCUCUCUCUCUCUCUCUGCGUGUGAUGGGAUUCAGCAUUGCUCUGUCCCUCCCAAUUUGCAUUCUCGAUGACUGAUUCCGCCAGAGACGUUGGCAGAAGGAGCGCCGCGUGGUGUUGACCCGCGCGCCGCCACCCUCACAGCGCAGGUCAGAGACUGCACAAACACACACUCGAAAAGGUUGACCCUCGGCCCCCCCCCCCGUUUGUUCCAGAAAUGGGUUUUUCCCGAAUAUAGAACAUUUUAAUUUUAGGAUGUCAAUGUGAAAACAGGAUUUGGGGAUCUCAGUGAAAAAGAUCACCGUACUUUUCUCUGUUCAGCAUUCUCUCACCCCUGACCGUACAGGUGUGUGUGUGUGUGUGUGUGUGUGUGUGUGUGUGUGUGUGUGUUUCCAUCAGUUUAAGUGGCCACAGUGGUGCACAAGAAUGUGCCACAUUUCAGGUAAUCGAGGUAACGAGGAAGUCUCCUUGUACUGUGCUGUUCACCCCUCGCAAACAAUUAUUAAAUAUGCACAUGCAUGCGCCGUUGAGAUAACAGCACAUUAAAGAAAAUGCUUUUUGUUACAGAGCAGGUGGUGAAUUGCAGCCAAGGACACAGUUGUGAACCAAACCGCACCGAGAAAAUCUCCCUUUGCCUUUUUAUUGCACCAUAAUUAAAACGAACAGUCUUUUCUGCUGUUGUUUUUCUCCCUCAGUUAUAUUCUUUAUGGUUUCAUUGAUUUACCAUUGGCUGUUAUUCCAAACCACAAAGGGCUUGUAGCGGUUUUAGCUCAGAGAUUGUUCCCACCUUCAAUGAUCAUGUGAGUCCUUGGCUUUAUUUCUGUUUUGUUCCCCCGACAGUGUGAGGAAUCUGAAUGCAAAAAUUCUUAAUGGAAUAUUAAAGAAGAAGCGUGUUUGAGAAGGCAUGUGUCACAUUGCAUUAAAUAUAAAGGGCUUCACUUUAAUUGCUUGAGUGCAGAUCCUGGGAAAUGGAAAUUGUGUUACUGCUUUUGGUUCUCCUGAAAUAAAGGCAUUAAUCACAUUCUUAUACAGUAUCUUGGAUGGAACUUUUGCUCUGUGGUGGAUUGCAGAAUGUUUCAGCAACUUCUGGUCAAAAUGGAACUUAAAUAAAACAGUACAUUUAUUGGAGUAAUAAUAAUAAUCCGGGGAUGGAUUUAAUAUUGCAGAAUUGUCAUUUAAAUUCUCCGUUUUGCAGAGUGGUCUGACCUUUCAGGGUCAGGUGCUUGGGACCAGCAUGUAGGUUGUGAUCUGCGAUGAUUAAAGCUGCGUCUCUGAAUAAACCAUUCACGUCACACACAAUUCUCAUGAGCUGAAUUUGUUACUGGCAAAACAAAAGCAGCCAUUUGCGUGCAUAUUUGUGGCAUAAUAUGCAUGUUGGGAAGCUACCUAUCUGUUAAAGCUCAAAAAAAUGUCAUAUACCUGGUAGAUCUUUGUAAUGGUAUAAAAAUAUGCAAUUAAUUGUGAUUAAUCGCAUAUUAAUUGUGAUCACUGUUCCCCUGUUCUAGCAACUUAUUGUGCCUGGUUAGUGCAGAGCUAACCAGGCAGCUGCACCAACAAACAUCAUGUAAAGUUGAAGAGCUCUAACUGUCUGGCAGGCAGUCAGAGUUCUCAGGGUCCACAACGCCCAGAGAGAGAAGCGGCCUGAGAGUCAUUUUCAAGAGUGAAUUGUGUAUCAUGGUGCCAAACGUCGUGACAACAAACCAUCCCAUUUCUUAUUGACUUUGCAGCAAUAUAUAACGUGGAAACCGCAGCGCUAUGCAGCAUUCGUGAAACCCUCGUGUUGGCACAUGCGCACUAAACUUGUAUGAGUGGUUUUGCCCUUGCGGGAAUAAUGCACCUUACAGCUGGCCAAAGCAAGGUCGACGCUCUGACUGUGUCCUUCCCGACCCUCCGAGUAGUGCUACUGUGGCAGUCAUGGCGUUUGGAGGGCGUGCACAUCGGUGUAAACCCGAUAAUUAGCUAAGUGCACUUAUUUAAGUCAGCAGUAAACAAGACGGUGGUGCAGAACGUUAAAAAUGAUGAAAUGAAAUGAAAUGCAACGUAGGCGUGUGUGGUGGGGGUGGGUGAUGGAGGUGGGGGG
ensembl:lncRNA